rnacentral:rRNA from 1 species
AUGGAGGACUUUGCGCGCGCGAUGGAGGAUGGGCUCAAGCUGUCGAAGCGGCUCGUGCUGCCGGGCGGGCUGCCCCCGCCGCGGCCGCCCGUAGGGAUGGAGCGCGGGCCCGCCGCGUUGCGGCUCCCCGCCGUGCUGAUGGCCUACGCGGUCGUCUCCGACCCCGGCACCAUCGACACCCCCGAUGUGCCCAGCUACCAGCCCUACGUCUACGGCCGCCUCGACCCGCCCGCGCUCAUCCCGCUGCAGAUGAAGGAGAUCGACCUCGCCGUCGACUGCAUGCUCGACACGGCCACCGUCACCCUGCACGCGCGCUGGUGGCUGUACUGCAUCACGCGCAGCCGCGAGUGCGACAUCAGGCUCGUCGUGCCCAUGGGGGAACUGGAUUCAGUUUGUGUUCUGGUGGCGAUGCCGACGGUCGUCAAGAGGUUCGUGGACUGGACGGUGUCGUGGCUGCUGAUGUAUGGAGAGGCGAAGCUGCUGCUCGUCAUCUACCUCUGGCACUCGGAGACCGACUUCGCCGUGAAGUCUGGUUGCCACGUCGCAUAG